rnacentral:rRNA from 1 species
AUACCGGUACCUUUUCAAGAUCUGGUAAUUGGAAUGAGUACAAUUCAAAUCCCUUAACGAGGAUCCAUUGGAGGGCAAGACUGGUGCCAGCAGCCGCGGUAACACCAGCUCCAAUAGCGUAUAUUAAAGUUGUUGCAGUUAAAAAGCUCGUAGUUGGGUAUCUGGCUUGGGCGGCCUGGUCCGUCUGUGCUUCUUCACAGGAGUGCGGGCGUGUAUCGGUAGCUGCUUUUGCCAUCCUUCUCGAUACGCUCCCCUUUCGUGGGGGUUAAACUCUGCGGGGGGGGUCAAGGGUGUGUCCGGAUCUUUUACUUUGAAAAAAUUAGAGUGUUCAAAGCAGGCAUUUUGCUGUGAAUACAUUAGCAUGGAAUAAUAAAAUAGGACUUUGGUCUUAUUUUGUUGGUUAAUAAGGCCGAAGUAAUGAUUGAUAGGGAUAGUUGGGGGUGCUUGUAUUGAACGGCCAGAGGCGAAAUUCUUGGAUUCGUUCAAGACAAACUACUGCGAAAGCAUUCACCAAGGAUGUCUUCUUUAAUCAAGAACGAAAGUUGGGGGAUCGAAGACGAUCAGAUACCGUCGUAGUCCUAACCAUAAACGAUGCCGACUAAGGAUCAGUGGGUGUUGUGUUUUAAAUGACCCCAUUGGCACUUUACGAGAAAUCAAAGUUUUUGGGUUCCGGGGGGAGUAUGGUCGCAAGGCUGAAACUUAAAGGAAUUGACGGAAGGGCACCACCAGGAGUGGAGCCUGCGGCUUAAUUUGACCCAACGCGGGGAAACUUACCAGGUCCGGACUCAGUUAGGAUUGACAGAUUGCAGAUCUUUCUUGAUUCUGAGGGUGGUGGUGCAUGGCCGUUCUUAGUUGGUGGAGUGAUUUGUCUGGUUAAUUCCGUUAACGAACGAGACCUCAGCCUGCUAAAUAGUCGAACGAAUGCUUUUCGUAUUCGUUUUUCGACUUCUUAGAGGGACUGUCUGUAUCUAGCAGAAGGAAGUGUGAGGCAAUAACAGGUCUGUGAUGCCCUUAGAUGUCCUGGGCCGCACGCGGGCUACAAUGUUGCAUUCAACAAGUUCCAUAUCCUUGAUCGAAAGGUCUGGGUAAUCUUUGAAAGUGCAACGUGCUUGGGAUAGACUAUUGCAAUUAUUGGUCUUCAACCAGGAAUUCCUAGUAAACGCGAGUCAUCAGCUCGCAUUGAUUACGUCCCUGCCCUUUGUACACACCGCCCGUCGCUCCUACCGAUUGAAUGAUCCGGCGAAAUCUUUGGACCGUCGUAGCGGGUUGGUUUCCAAUUCGCUGCUUCUGGGAAGUUGAUUGAACCUUAUCAUUUA